rnacentral:rRNA from 1 species
UACGUAGGCAGCAAGCGUUGUUCGGAAUUACUGGGCGUAAAGAGUGUGUAGGCGGUGCUCUAAGUUCGGUGUGAAAUCUCCCGGCUCAACUGGGAGGGUGCGCCGGAAACUGGAGUGCUCGAGCGUGGGAGAGGAAAGCGGAAUUCCUGGUGUAGCGGUGAAAUGCGUAGAUAUCAGGAGGAACACCUGCGGUGUAGACGGCUUUCUGGACCAUUGCUGACGCUGAGACACGAAAGCGUGGGUAGCAAACAGG